AUAUUGGACAAUGGGCGAAAGCCUGAUCCAGCAAUGCCGCGUGAGUGAUGAAGGCCUUAGGGUUGUAAAGCUCUUUCGCUGAUGACGAUGAUGACGGUAAUCAGAGAAGAAGCCCCGGCUAACUUCGUGCCAGCAGCCGCGGUAAUACGAAGGGGGCUAGCGUUGUUCGGAAUUACUGGGCGUAAAGGGCGCGUAGGCGGCAUAGCAAGUUAGAAGUGAAAGCCCCGGGCUCAACCUGGGAAUUGCUUUUGAUACUGCUAAGCUUGAGUUCGGGAGAGGUGAGUGGAAUUCCCAGUGUAGAGGUGAAAUUCGUAGAUAUUGGGAAGAACACCGGUGGUGAUGGCGGCUCACUGGACCGACACUGACGCUGAGGCGCGAAAGCGUGGGGAGCAAACAG
rnacentral:rRNA from 1 species